rnacentral:misc_RNA from 1 species
AAUUCUCAACUUUGAAGCAUUGUUUUGUUUUUCAAAGCUUGGACUGUGGAGGCCUGCCGGCAAAUAAUGUCAGCUCCUCUUAAAUGCAUUAGCAGAACCUUUUGUUUUAAAGGACUGGCUUCAGUUUGGUAAUUCUAUCUAUGCUGUCGCUGUCGACCCUUUGUAUGUUCUGCUUCUAAUGGUCUUUGGACUGUCUCUAUGAGGCAUACACUUUUAA